rnacentral:rRNA from 1 species
CCUACGGGAGGCAGCAGUGAGGAAUAUUGGUCAAUGGACGAGAGUCUGAACCAGCCAAGUAGCGUGAAGGAUGACUGCCCUAUGGGUUGUAAACUUCUUUUAUAUGGGAGUAAAAUGUUCCACGUGUGGGAUUAUGUAUGUCUCAUAUGAAUAAGGCUCGGCUAACUCCGUGCCAGCAGCAGCGGUAAUACGGAGGAUCCGAGCGUUAUCCGGAUUUAUUGGGUGUAAAGGGAGCGUAGGUGGAUAGUUAAGUCAGUGGUGAAAGUUUGCGGCUCAACCGUAAAAUUGCAGUUGAAACUGGCAGUCUUGAGUACUGUAGAGGUGGGCGGAAUUCGUGGUGUAGCGGUGAAAUGCUUAGAUAUCACGAAGAACUCCGAUUGCGAAGGCAGCUCGCUGGACUGCAACUGACACUGAGGCUCGAAAGUGUGGGUAGCAAACAGGAUUAGAUACCCUAGUAGUC